UUCAGCAACUCUCAAAGUAAUAUAAGUGAAGCAUGAGAGCAAAUUUCUUCAAAAUAAUAGGACCACCGUGCUAAAAAAGAUAUAAGUGGAGUACUUGAGCAAUUCCAUGGCUCAAAACAUUUAAGUGAAGCACAAAGAGCGAUUCUAACAAAUCAUAGCAUAAUUUAGCUCUCUCAAAUGAGUGUGUCUAGUAAGGUUUACUAUGACAAACUAACCAACAAAGAAAGACACAAAUGAUACAAGAUGCUCCAAGAAAAACUCAUGAUAUGUGAUGAAUAAAAAUAUAGCUCCAAGUAAAAUAACCGAUGGUUGUUAGAAGAAAGAGGGGAUGCCUUCUGUGGCAUCCCCAAGAUUAGAUGCUUGGUAAUCCUUAGAUAUUACCUAGGGGUGCCAUUGGGCAUCCCCAAGCUUAGGAUUUUAUCACUCCUUAGUCCUUCAUCCAUCGUGAUCUCACUCAAAACGUGAUAACUUCAAUCACACAAAACUCAACAAUUUUUUUGUGAGAUCCAUUAGUAUAAGAAAACAAAACUUUACUUUAGGUAUUGUUGAAAACCUAGUCCAAUUUUUCUGUUGCAUUAUACCUAUUGUAUUCUAAGUUUACCAUGGCUUAUACCCCCGGUACAAACCAUAGAAUCAUCAAAACAAGCACAUAAUGCAAAGAAAACAUAAUCU
rnacentral:lncRNA from 1 species